AUUGAACGCUGGCGGCAGGCCUAACACAUGCAAGUCGAGCGGAUGAAGGGAGCUUGCUCCUGGAUUCAGCGGCGGACGGGUGAGUAAUGCCUAGGAAUCUGCCUGGUAGUGGGGGGUAACGUCCGGAAACGGGCGCUAAUACCGCAUACGUCCUGAGGGAGAAAGUGGGGGAUCUUCGGACCUCACGCUAUCAGAUGAGCCUAGGUCGGAUUAGCUAGUUGGUGGGGUAAAGGCCUACCAAGGCGACGAUCCGUAACUGGUCUGAGAGGAUGAUCAGUCACACUGGAACUGAGACACGGUCCAGACUCCUACGGGAGGCAGCGGUGGGGAAUAUUGGACAAUGGGCGAAAGCCUGAUCCAGCCAUGCCGCGUGUGUGAAGAAGGUCUUCGGAUUGUAAAGCACUUUAAGUUGGGAGGAAGGGCAGUAAGUUAAUACCUUGCUGUUUUGACGUUACCAACAGAAUAAGCACCGGCUAACUUCGUG
rnacentral:rRNA from 1 species